CCCUUAGAUGUCCUGGGCCGCACGCGCGUUACACUGAUGCAUUCAACGAGCUUAUAACCUUGGCCGAGAGGCCUGGGCAAUCUUGUUAACGUGCAUCGUGAUAGGGAUAGAUUAUUGAAAUUAUUAAUCUUGAACGAGGAAUGCCUAGUAAGCGCAAGUCAUCAGCUUGCGUUGAUUACGUCCCUGCCCUUUGUACACACCGCCCGUCGCUCCUACCGAUUGAAUGGUCCGGUGAAGCGCUCGGACCGCGGCCUCUUGACGGUUCGCUGUCGAUUGGCUGUGGGAAGUUCGUUAAACCUUAUCAUUUAGAGGAAGGAGAAGUCGUAACA
rnacentral:rRNA from 1 species